ensembl:piRNA 21ur-4175 ncRNA
UGAGAGUGAUUUAGUUGGCGG